rnacentral:rRNA from 1 species
CUCCGUGCCAGCAGCCGCGGUAAUACGGAGGGGGUUAGCGUUGUUCGGAAUUACUGGGCGUAAAGCGCGCGUAGGCGGAUUAGAAAGUUGGGGGUGAAAUCCCGGGGCUCAACCUCGGAACUGCCUCCAAAACUGCUAGUCUAGAGUUCGAGAGAGGUGAGUGGAAUUCCGAGUGUAGAGGUGAAAUUCGUAGAUAUUCGGAGGAACACCAGUGGCGAAGGCGGCUCACUGGCUCGAUACUGACGCUGAGGUGCGAAAGUGUGGGGAGCAAACAGGAUUAGAUACCCUGGUAGUCCACACCGUAAACGAUGAAUGCCAGUCGUCGGGUAGUAUACUAUUCGGUGACACACCUAACGGAUUAAGCAUUCCGCCUGGGGAGUACGGUCGCAAGAUUAAAACUCAAAUGAAUUGACGGGG